rnacentral:rRNA from 1 species
GGGGAAUUUUCCGCAAUGGGCGAAAGCCUGACGGAGCAAUACCGCGUGAGGGAUGACGGCCUAUGGGUUGUAAACCUCUUUUUUCAGGGAGGAAUAAAUGACGUGUACCUGAAGAAUAAGCAUCGGCUAACCC